AGUGAAGUAAUACAUAAACUGAACCGAGUUUAUCUCUUGCAAAUCAACACAUUAGUUCUCAAUUUACUCACAACUGUAAAAAACAUUUGUACAAAAAAAGACUUCUAUUUAUUCUUUCCAAUUCUGCAAAUUAUUUUCAAAAACCUACAUGACAUUUUAUAUAUUUCUAAUUCAUUAAAAAAAAUGUGACUAAUAUGUUGGAAAGGAGUUCAUCAAAGUGGAAAGAAUCUAACAGGGUGGAUUUCCCAAUCUUACCACAGUAAAUAAUUUGUGUAAUGCUGCCCUUAUGCUGUUAGUAAUUUCUUAGUAUCUCAAUAUCAUAAUUGUCAUGAUCCUGCCGCUCCAGCCCGGGCUGUGCGGGUGCCCGCGCACUCGCGCUAAUUUGGAGGCACACACCUGCGCCUCAUGUGGGUUUAUUAUCCCGUGUAUAUAUAGGACCCCGAUGACGACUGGUGCUCCGUCAGAUCGUUGAGGUUCAUGUCCCGUUCCAGCACUCUUGUAUCCCUGAUCAUCAACCCGUGUGUACGGACCUUCGCCUGUUCUCUGACCGAAUCCGUAUGCCUGACUCAUUUGACACUUCUGCCUGCCCUGAUCGAUCUCCCGUGUACCGACUCCUGCCUGCCCGCUCACCUGCUCUCUUCGCCCGACGUCCCAACUACCGCUGCUGCACCUGACUGCCUGCCCGAUCCCCGACCUUCUAAUAAUAAACGUUUUCUCCCCGAACUACCUUUCAUCUGACGAAUCCUGCAUUUGGGUCCUACCUUCGUUUCGAUGGGUCGUGACAAUAAUCAUGCAAAUGGAACUGACCAUGUAUUAAAAAGAUCAAUAACUGUGUAAAUGCUCAUCAGUUUAUGGUUAAAAUGCAUUUAGGGAAAGUGCAGUGUGACUCCAUCCAUCCAUCCAUCCAUUUUCUACUGCUUAUCCGAGAUUGGGUCGCAGGGGCAGCAGUUUUAGCAGACUUUCCUUUCCCCAACCAUUUCAUCCAGCUCUUCCGGAGGGAUCCUAAGGCAUUCCCAGGCAAGCCAAGAGUCUUCCAUCACUCGUGAACAAGACCCAAAGAUGCUUGAACUCCUCCACUUGGGGCUGGAUCUCAUCCACGACCUGGAGAGGGUGCACCACCCUUUUCUGACUGAGGACCAUGGUCUCAGAUUUGGAGGUGCAUUCCCUCUAUACCCUGAACCGGUUGCCAGCCAAUCAGGAAUCUUCACCUCACCUUCAGCGGCAUGGUGGAUGACUGCUUCGAGCAUCAGGUUCACAGUUCUAAGUGUAACCCAGUUAAAAGUUGGUACAGAUAAAAUUUCAGUAUAAUAGAGUAGCAAUUAGGUUAUAGAUUUUCUUUAUGCGAUGUGGUGGAAUAUCUGUUAAACUGUUAAACUGUGUGCUGACUGUAUUUUCUUUUGGAGGGAUUUGUAUUUAAAUGUGUUUGAUUCACUUGUGAAAAAGACAUACUUUUGUUUUUCAUUUUAUUCUUGUAACAAUUGUUUAAGAAGGACAGGAAGUGACGUGUUGAGGAGAUGAGAUAAAAAGAAAAAAAAAGGCUAGACAGAGUGCAAAGUUAUUGGAGGACAACAAAAGUACAAAGAAGGUGAACGGUGGAGAUUUAUCAAAAGUUGAUCGUGUUCAAAUAGGACUGUUGAAAGUUCAACUGGGUAAGUGUGUCGUUUGAGUGGACUACUCAAAUCAUGCCGUACCAGGGUGGAGUUAGCCACUACCACAGGGGCUAAGUGCAUGCAUGGGACUUGGCUGGGCGCUAGCAACCAGCUAACGCUAGCUACCAAGGCCUGUGUGUUGGACCACGAGGGAGAGUACAAGGGCGCUAGGGUCGAGCUAACGCGGCUAGCGAGGCUGUGUUUGGACUUCAAGGAAGAAAAAGGGACGAGGACUGUGAGGACGCUGGACAGAAGAGAAACCACCUUCACCUUUCUUCAUUCCUCCCUUGGGAAGCACCGCAGUGACAUUGGGGUUUGAGUUUCGUUUGCUUGCCGGCUAUAUUCAUAU